ACUUAAAUAGCUUAUAUAAUAGAGCAUGACAUUGAAGCUGUCAGGGAAACUUCGUAGUUUUUAAGUA
rnacentral:tRNA from 1 species